CCUACGGGAGGCAGCAGUAGGGAAUCUUCCACAAUGGACGAAAGUCUGAUGGAGCAACGCCGCGUGAGUGAUGAAGGUUUUCGGAUCGUAAAACUCUGUUGUAAGGGAAGAACAAGUACGUUAGGAAAUGAACGUACCUUGACGGUACCUUAUUAGAAAGCCACGGCUAACUACGUGCCAGCAGCCGCGGUAAU
rnacentral:rRNA from 1 species